CCUACGGGUGGCAGCAGUGGGGAAUAUUGGGCAAUGGAGGCAACUCUUACCCAGCAAUGCCGCGUGAAUGAAGAAGGUCUUCGGAUUGUAAGGUUCUUUAAUUGGGGACGAAAAAAAUGACGGUACCCAAGGAAUAAGCCUCGGCUAACUACGUGCCAGCAGCCGCGGUAAUACGUAGGGGGCAAGCGUUGUUCGGAAUGACUGGGCGUAAAGGGUGUGUAGGCGGUGUAGCAAGUUAGAAGUGAAAUACCUAGAGCUUAACUCAGGUGCUGCUUCUAAAACUGCUAUACUUGAGUGCAGUAGAGGAAAGUGGAAUUCCUAGUGUAGCGGUGAAAUGCAUAGAUAUCACACAGAACACCGAUUGCGAAGGCAUCUCACGAAUCCGCGAUUGACGCUGAUGCACGAAAGCGUGGGUAUCAAACAGGAUUAGAUACCCGUGUAGUC
rnacentral:rRNA from 1 species